rnacentral:rRNA from 1 species
UACGUAGAUGGCAAGCGUUGUCCGGAAUCACUGGGCGUAAAGCGCGCGCAGGCGGCGAUCUACGUCUGGGGUGAAAGCCCGGAGCUCAACUCCGGGACUGCCUUGGAUACGGGAUCGCUUGAGGAUUGGAGAGGCAGGGGGAAUUCCACGUGUAGCGGUGAAAUGCGUAGAUAUGUGGAGGAACACCUGUGGCGAAGGCGCCUUGCUGGCCAACUUCUGACGCUGAGGCGCGAAAGCGUGGGGAGCAAACAGG